rnacentral:rRNA from 1 species
UGGGGAAUUUUGGACAAUGGGGGAAACCCUGAUCCAGCCAUCCCGCGUGUGCGAUGAAGGCCUUCGGGUUGUAAAGCACUUUUGGCUGGAAAGAAACGUCAUGGGUUAAUACCCCGUGAAACUGACGGUACCUGCAGAAUAAGCACCGGCUAACUACGUGCCAGCAGCCGCGGUAAUACGUAGGGUGCAAGCGUUAAUCGGAAUUACUGGGCGUAAUGCGUGCGCAGGCGGUUCGGAAAGAAAGAUGUGAAAUCCCAGAGCUCAACUUUGGAACUGCAUUUUUAACUACCGGGCUAGAGUGUGUCAGAGGGAGGUGGAAUUCCGCGUGUAGCAGUGAAAUGCGUAGAUAUGCGGAGGAACACCGAUGGCGAAGGCAGCCUCCUGGGAUAACACUGACGCUCAUGCACGAAAGCGUGGGGAGCAAACAGG